GGCGCUUUGGUCUAGUGGUAUGAUACCUGCUUCGGGUUUUUCAACCUGAUAGAUUCAAUCUAUCGCUUCUGUAGGUGGCCCCCAGUUCAACCCUGGGAAGCGCCC